UACGUAGGGUGCAGGCGUUAAUCGGAAUUACUGGGCGUAAAGCGUGCGCAGGCGGUUUGCUAAGACAGGUGUGAAAUCCCCGGGCUUAACCUGGGAACUGCGCUUGUAACUGGCGAACUGGAGUGUGGCAGAGGGGGGUGGAAUUCCGCGUGUAGCAGUGAAAUGCGUAGAGAUGCGGAGGAACACCGAUGGCGAAGGCAGCCCCCUGGGCUAGCACUGACGCUCAGGCACGAAAGCGUGGGGAGCAAACAGG
rnacentral:rRNA from 1 species